rnacentral:lncRNA from 10 species
AUAAAUGACUUUUAUUAGUUUUAGUAUGUUCUAUUCUAAAGACGUUCUUGCUAACUAAAGUAAGUCUCACUCACUUUACAAAGCAGGAAGUAGAGUUUUUUGAAGUAAUUAAUUAUUCAAGAAUUGGCAAAAGUAAAACAUAAAAUUUUCUUCCCUGAUACAGGAAGUUGACAUAAGAAUGAUCAACAUGUUGCUCUAUAUUAUAUGCCUAUCCAUAUUCCAGUUACCACAUUGUCUUGAUUACUGUUGCUUUAAGUUUCGAAAUGGGAAAGUAUGAGUCCUCCAACUUUGUUCUUCUUUUUCA